rnacentral:rRNA from 1 species
UACGUAGGCAGCAAGCGUUAUUCGGAAUCACUGGGCUUAAAGCGCGUGUAGGCGGGACGGCACGUCGGUCGCUGAAAUCCCCCGGCUCAACCGGGGAACGGGCGCCGAUACGACCGUCCUGGAGGGACGUAGGGGGACCUGGAACUUCCGGUGGAGCGGUGAAAUGCGUUGAGAUCGGAAGGAACGCCCGUGGCGAAAGCGAGGUCCUGGACGUUUUCUGACGCUGAGACGCGAAAGCCAGGGGAGCGAACGGG